rnacentral:misc_RNA from 1 species
AAUUUUCUCACGGUCCCAAACCUUCAACAUCGAGUAGCAAGUCAGAUAGUUACUUUCACGCAUGGCGGAAAGAGGAGGAGGAGAAGGGGGGGUUGUAUGGGUGGUGAGGGGGGCGUGCGGGGCAGCGAAUCAAAGGGUAAUCACUUCAACUCUUUUAUCUUUCGCGAAAAAAUAAAUAAAUCACUUCAACUCAGUAUCAAUGCUUAAUAUUAAAGAUUAUAAUUGACAACAAUAAAAAAUUAAAAAAAGGAAAGAAAAUAAAGAAAAGGAGCAUAAUUGUAGAAACCAUUAGCCUUAAGGAAAUGGACAGCUUUCCAGAUAUCACACGGAAUCUGGAUCAACCUAUCACUUCAUGCAGCCUUUGGAAAACAA